GGAGAGCAAGACAGUUGGCAUACUAGGAGCCAUAGAUUUGUCUGUACAGAAUUUCUGUGAGCACCACCUACUGGUGGUCACUACAGACUAGUUUAAAACAUGAAUUUCUAGAUUCAGGAUGAAUGUUUUGCUCAGUUUUUUGUACAGUUGCCUUUUUCAAUAUGAACUGACUGAAAAGAUUUUAUAAAGCUAACUGGUGCUUGACCUUAAACCCCAUUUUUAAAAUUGCCUAGCUGUUGAAAUGGAAUCAUGUUAAAACCUGGCCCCAGGAAUUCUUGUGUCGUUUCAGAAUGAGAGGCAGGAUGAUUUCUGAAAAAAUGAUUCUUAAUCCAAUUUCCACAAUAGGCAGUCUAGUUGAGUUUUGGCCAGAUUAUGCUUUGGGGGUUUUUUCAAGAGCAUGAGCAGUUCAUUUGUUUGGGUUCUGGUCUGCCCAAAAGCAG
rnacentral:lncRNA from 1 species